GCCCUCUCAGGGUUGCACCUGGAGAGUUUCCAGUACUUUACCAGUCUCAGCUACAGGAGAGAGAGUCAGGCAGAGGCCUACCCAUUCCAUUCCUGGCUUGGCCAGUGGCUAGCCAGUGGAAGACCAUCUGCUACAAGU